GUUGGGAAACACUGCCCUAAUCGAUAGGACUGGUGUCCACCCCUUGUCCUUUCCAGAAACAUUUGGAGAUAUUUUUGUUUCCACAAGCUUUUUCCAACUCAAUAAAAAGAUAUCUGCCUUAGAUUUUCAUUCUGUAUUGUCUUUAAGCCUAAAGUUGUUGCUUUUCUCCUUUUUUAAAAAAAUGCUUUUAAAGCUGUUUUCAUGGUAUGUUUAUAAAUCUCCUUCAGUUAAGCAUAGAAGUCUACUUAUAAAUCUAUAAUAUUAGUAAUAAUGCGGCACUGAUUAGCCCACAUAAACAGGUUCCUCCUGCCCCCUUCCUUAAAUCUUGCCCCCAAUAUCAUUCAGCAAGUCCAGCCAAGUUUUCCUGGCUCCAUGUCAGCAGAGAGAAUCCCUGGAAUAAGCAUUUAUGUUAAUUCAGCAGAGCUAAACAUCCAGAAAAAAAGUCAACGGGCCAUUCAGUCAGCAAGGAUUUAUUUAUUUAUUUAGAGCAUUUGUACCUGGCUCUUCAGCCAAAAAGUCUCCCACAGCAGCUGACUUACAAGUAAAACAAGACUGUCCCUAACCUCAGGCUUACAAUGUAAAUAAUAAUAAUAAUAAUACACACAAGGGAAAAGGACAGUGAUAUAGUAGAGGAAAAUCAAAAUUCAGGCACCAAUUUCUAAACAGUUCAUAUUGACCAGCUGGCACUGUUCAGGUGCAGGAAGUGCCUAAGCUGGUGAAAUGAGCCCUAUUUAUCACAUGGAGGCCACCUGAUGGAGUGGCUGCCCCCAUAUGGCAGUUGAGGGGAGAGGAGACCUGAUGGAGCAGGCCUUUCACAGCACAGCUGACUGAGUGCUCACUGAGCUCUUCUUCCCAGCUCUCCCAGUGAAGCAGUCUGAUAAUGGCUGAGGCGAGAGAAGGCCUUUAUGUGAUGGGUGAACCAUGGCCCUGAAAAUAGUUUCUGAGGUGAAAUGCCAUUGAGACCUGGCUCGAAUUAAGCUGCGGAAGUUGUUUUCAGCGCUGCAGCUCAACUCUUAAAACAUGAGAAUCAACUGUGACAGCCGGGACCUCUUCUGAACCAAAGUACAGUAAGACACUUUUCAGUUUAGGUAGGUACUGCUUAAGUAUUUGUACAACUGCAAAGCUUAAGUCUCCAUGGUAUCUUUGCAAGGGAGAAGGAUGGGGAGAAAGCUAGAACUGGUCAUGCCACUGAGACUUAAUUGACCACACACCCCUGACUUCCUAAGAGUCCAGUGGGCAUGAGCUGUCACUGUUUCCACCUAUAGAAGAUGUCUGUUUGUUCACCUAGAGAUAGAGCAGCAUGAGCAAACAACCAGCUGAAACCAAUUUGGCAGAUUGACAGUUGAUCUCAGACUGAGAAGGCUGAAGUCUAUAUACAUGUGGCUUAAUAAUUUUCUAGGAAAUCUAAAAGUUUUAAAUGUUUUAACCCUGCAUCUCUGACUUUGACGCUUUUCCACUAUGUGAGAAGUUUUAUUGCUAGACUGCUGUUCUAUAUGCCUGAAUUUAUGUUCUGUUCUGUGUUUCUGAAUAAAUCUUUCCAUUCUUUUACUGCUGCAGUCCUAUGAAUACUGUACAUAGCUGUACUAAGCCCUGGAGUGCUUUACUUCAAAGUAAGCACUGACAGGAUCAUAGGUGCCGACUCCCUGGGACCCUGGGUUCCUGAGCACCCAUAAAGUUCCCCAUGAAGGGGCUGGGCACCCACAAAUUUCAGCGCCAGGGCCAUGCAUGUUGC